rnacentral:rRNA from 1 species
UACCAGCUCUCCGAGUGGUAGGGAUGAUUAUUGGGCUUAAAGCGUCCGUAGCCGGCUUAGCAAGUCUCCUGUUAAAUUCAGCGACCUAAUCGUUGAGCCGCGGGAGACACUACUAGGCUAGGAGGCGGGAGAGGCCGACGGUAUUCUCGGGGUAGGGGUGAAAUCCUAUAAUCCCGGGAGGACCACCAGUGGCGAAGGCUGUCGGCUAGAACGCGCUCGACGGUGAGGGACGAAAGCUGGGGGAGCGAACCGGAUUAGAUACCCGGGUAGUCCCAGCUGUAAACGAUGCGGGCUAGGUGUUGGGGUGGCUACGAGCCACUUCAGUGCCGCAGGGAAGCCAUUAAGCCCGCCGCCUGGGGAGUACGGCCGCAAGGCUGAAACUUAAAGGAAUUGGCGGGGGAGCACCACAAGGCGUGAAGCUUGCGGUUC